UUCUGCCUGUGGGAACAGUUGGC
rnacentral:piRNA from 1 species